UACAUUAGUUCAAAUGCGGGUGCGAAUGAGAGGGCGCCACAGCUGCGUUCCCUUCUACCCAGGUUCCUUCGAACGAGGUCAAAGCGGACGAAAGGUGAUGCGUUGUACGUGGUGCCAUCUCGCGGGAAGUGGAUGUACCUGAGCAAUGAGUGCAGUAUUUCUGCAAAAGUGCAAUGCACUUGCUCUACUAUUGCCCCUCUCUUUGAAUGUAUUGCAAGAGAGGGAAACAAGGGAAGAAGGAGCACCUGUUAGGGUGAGUUGUUGUCAGUGUGAUGCAGGGAGUGGCGGGAUGAACAACCAACGAAACGGAGGGUGAAACGAAGAUGGGAACAUUGGAAGCUGCUAUAUAUUCGCCUUAUGCUUGAAAUUUAGGAAAAUGGAAAAAAUGGAUAUUUUCUUUGGAAGAGAAGCUGAGCGAGGAAGCAGAGGGGAUUCAAAUGAAUUAUUAUAAAGAAUGAAGAAUUUGUAAAUAAAUAAAUUAAGAAAACAAAGAUUUUCUUUAAAUUUUAA